UACGGGGGGAGCAAGCGUUGUUCGGAUUUACUGGGCGUAAAGGGCGCGUAGGCGGCCACCGCAAGUCGACUGUGAAAUCUCCGGGCUUAACCCGGAAAGGUCAGCCGAUACUGCGGGGCUAGAGUGCAGAAGGGGCAACUGGAAUUCUCGGUGUAGCGGUGAAAUGCGUAGAUAUCGAGAGGAACACCUGCGGCGAAGGCGGGUUGCUGGGCCAACACUGACGCUCAUGCACGAAAGCGUGGGGAGCAAACAGG
rnacentral:rRNA from 1 species